AGAGUAUCAUUUAGAGAACGCUGCUGGAGUAAUAGAGAACGGAAUCUUCUCUAUAUAUAGGAUACAGAACGCUUUAGAGAAUGCCGUUGGAGACAACCUAAUAUUCAGCUCACGAUGAGCUAAAUAGACCAAUUCUAUAUAUAUAUUAUAUAUAAGAGAGAGAGAGACAGAGGGGGGGUUAUUCCAUACCCGAAUCCCUGCUCAAGCUGUGCGUGCGACCGAACCCGAGCACCGAGCACGCACGCUACCAGCCUCUCGCUCCCCGCGGUUUUCUUCCGUUGUUCCCCGCUGCUCAUUUUUUUUCUCGGUUCUUUUUUUCACCGGCCGCACACCAGUUUCUUGAUUCGCCCACGACUCGCCCAAGAUAGAUCGUGGGUCAUAAUCUCGAUCUCGUUCUUUUUCCUCCCGUUCCGUUGCUCGCACCAUCCACAGGCCUCCCUCCCGUCGCCGCCGCCCCCCGCCGUUUUCCAGCGACAGUUCCGCUGAAGCCGAGGCACGCCAGACGCAAGGUGCCGCUCUUGCCGUCCCUCGCCGGAGCCUGCGCGACCUGAAGCUGCUCGUGAGGUCCUCCACCACAGAUCGAAUGUCCAUGAUUUGGUUCCGAUCUAUUGAGGCCUUUUUACCAUGAUCUGAUUUGAUUCUGUUCUAUGAAGGUCUUCUUCGUUGUAGAUCUGGAAUCCCAAUUUCACGAUGAUGCAGCAAUUGGACAUGUGCCGCUGGCCGCCGACGGAUUUGGAAGCACUGGGUAGGGUCGUAGGGCUGGGGCCACGUGCGGAGGCAAUGGGAUAGGCAGCGACAUCACCGAGUGUGUGCUUUGCCAUCCAGUGGAGCCUGGACUUGCUGCUGACUGCAUGAUACCUUCAGCCAUCUGUGUCCCAGCAGCCCAGCGAAAUUUUUGCUCUCUGCUCUUGUCCUCAAUUCUUCCUCGCUGGAUACAGGAAGACAUCCAGACAAGCUGUUAGACAAUGGUGAAGGCUGAAAUAUCCUCGAGGCAAGUGUAGAAAUCAUAGCUCAUGCCUGAUGUGGGCGAAGGCCGGCAUACACAUGUUGUUUCUUUCCUUCAUUUGUAUGCCAAUAAAUCAAUCACUAGAUUAUAGAUUCAAGAUAUGUAAAUUCUUUCUGGUAUUCUUUUUUGAGAUUUCUGGAUGCUAAUCCUUUUUUAUUUUAUUCACAUAGUUAGCUCAUUUAAUCAGUUGAGUUCUGCUGUUGGAAAAAGCAUUAUUCUUCACUGGAGGUAAUCCUGGUCCAGUCUCUCCGAACCUUCAAAUCUUCUCGCAAUGGGCUUGUGGUGCCAUUCCUCUGCAGCCCUGCUCGUGUGUCUAGAUGUGUAUGCAAGCCCCUACCAUAUUUGCUUCUUCCAAUAAUGUGUUUCAAUGUCCUCUGUCUGCUUGUUAUUUUGCUUCUGAGAGUGGAGCUAAGAGAUGAUUCUGCCAAGGUUGUACGGUGGUGGUCUUGUUUUAAAGGAUUUCAUCCUAGUUUAUUUUGAUCUGAUGUUCUUGGUGCUCUGUUUCGUGUUUCCAAUCGGAUCGUUGAAGUUCAUAGUACAACAUAGGAUAAUAUAAAAUAGAACUGAUUCUUUUACUUACUCCAAUUUCAGCUGUAUGAUUCAUAUCUGCAAAUACAUGUCUGCUUUAUGUUUUCUACUUUAGUGUAGCUAGUUGCCACUAUAUGUCAUACUGAUUCAUAAACUUUUCUGAUAUCUGAAACUUCUUAAAUUUGGUUAUGACAAAUGGACUGGCUUAUAUGCGGUCAUAUAUACAUCUUUCUACUAAGCAUUAUGUUUCAAAUUGAUCUAUUUGUGCAGUAUCAUAAUCGUGACUAAUCCCCAAUGGAGUUUUUUUUAUUAUUUUAUAUGCUUUUUUCCUUGAAUAUUUAUUUGGAUGAAGGGGUGCAGCUGCAUCUUAGAUGUAAGUACUCAUGCGUGUGAUCAAGGAUAAUAGCAAGCUUCGGCAAGCUAAUAACAGCUCGUCCUCAUCUUCGUCUACAUCCGGCUUGGGUAAUAAGUCGAGUUGUCUAUGCUACAAGCAUGGUCCAGCGCCAUCAUUUUGCGUCAUGCUCGUGGGCACUUGGAUUCUGUGAUCUUCGACUAUCGAGUGCCCGAAUUUCACAAAGACUCGGGGCUAGUGGAGCGCGAUUCCCCGCAGGGAUCCCGGCCUUUUCCCCGGAACGGGCUUCCCCUCGUGGAAUCGUGGCCCGGGCCAAAUUACUGGGCAUUUGGAAGCCCACGGCGCGGGGCAGGCGCUCCCGUUCCCAUCGAUUUCCCCGGGGCAGGCGCUCCUCCGUGCGGCUCGCGAGCGCCUCCGCCUCCCCGUCAUGAUUCCCCGAGUCGAAGGCGCCGCCGUCGCUCCGCCCCUCCGCCUCCCCGUCCAAGCCGCGCCGCCCUCCCCGUCCAGGUCGCACCGCCCCGUCCUACCGCCGCGUCGUCCGCCUCCCCCAGCUGCCGGUCCUCCGCCUCCCGGUCAAGAUCCGGCACCGCGCCGCCCUCCCCGUCCAGGUCACGCCGCCCCUCCGCCUUCCCGUCCAGGCCGCGCCGCCCUGGGAACGAGAGGGGAGGGAGGCAAGUGGUCGGCGCUUCUGACAAGACCGCCCGCCAUCUUGCUCCUGCAGCCGCAGAUCGGAUCUCUCGAGGCUGAUUCAUUCUCCAGAACUACAGCUGAUCGAGAAAAAGAGUUGAAUGCUGUGCAGGAGGCUUAGCUCCGCAGGGCAGAGGAAGCUGCAGCAACAGAAGCUGCACUUGAACGUCAAAAGAAAGAAGAGGAGGAGAAGCUGAAGAAACAGCGUGAGGAAGAGCCAUGUUAACAAAAAGUUCAAGGGCUACGUGGAGCUACACUCAUGAGAAAGGACUUGUUGAAACAAUGCAGACGCUUGUCAACAUCCCCAUGCUGAGGGGACAGAAUGGUUGGACAGCAGAAGGUUGGAGACAUAUUACCUACAAAUUGAAUGAAAUGUUUCCUAACGCAAACUUCACAAAGCAGCAAGUACAAGAAAAGGAGAAAGAAUUAAAGGGGAACUAUAGGAUAAUACGAGAAGCUAGAAAAAGUGGUUUUUGGUUGUGAUGGCACUUUGGGUAUGAUCAAUGCUGAACCCAAAAUCUGGGCAAAGUUGAUAAAGGAUAAUCCUAAAGUCAGCAAGUUCCGCAAGAAGGCUUUUCCUUUAUUUAACAGCUUGGGAUCAUUGUAUGAAGGGGAUUUAAAUUUUACAUCUAGUGAACCUGCACCUCAAAGAACUCAACAGCAAGUUGAUCCUACACCUCAAAGAACUCAGCAGCAAGUUGAUCCUACACCUCAAAGAACUCAGCAGCAAAUUGAUCCUAUACCUCAAAGAAGUAUCUCAGAGCAAAGCACCCAUAACACAGCACCUAGUAGAAAUCCAUUCAAUUCUGGUCUUGAUGGCAUAGAGAGCACCGAAGUUCAAUCUGCUGCAACAAAUCAAAGUUCAGAGGAUGUAGAAGGUGUCAGCGGCAAGAAACGUAAGCAAAGUCAAAUGGCAACAGGACUUGGAGACUACAUUGAAUUCAGGAAAGACCAGAUUGAAAAAACUAUGAAGGAGCUCAAUGAGAAGAAGAAACAUGAAGAGGACUAUUCUGUUCAGAAGUGCAUUGACAUUAUGGAUGCCAUGGAAGAACUAACUGAUGAGCAGAAGGCGGAUUGUAAUGAGCGAUUCCAAUCUGAAAUGAAUAGUCAAAUAUUUGUGGGCACCAAAAACCAAAAGGGUAGCAGACCUAGCUUUGGCCAUGGUGGCGGCAGCGCUUUUGGUUCUGGAGCAUCUUCCAUGGUGUGAUAAUUCAAUACCCUAUACUACUGGUAUGAGUAUACGCGGCGGGCGACCUGUGCGGAGCCGCGGCAUCACGGGGAACGACGGCGCGACCUACGCGGAGCAGCGUCCGGCGCGAGAGUGGCUGCAGGCAAGCGCGGCCCACGGAUCACAGCGCACGUGGAGCACGGUGUUGGAGCAGAGCUGGGAGCAUGCGCAUGCUAGGGAUCCCACUAUUUUUGCUAUGAUUUGUAGGUACUGGUAUCCGCCUCAGUAAUUGAGCUCUCUCAUACCUAAAAAAUUCACUGCGCCCAUUGAUUUUGAUGUAGUUUUGGUCAAUCUCGAGGAGUUCAGAAGUUCAGGGCGUGUUUUUUUUUUAUUCUUGUGUGUUUUGAGCCAUCAAGUUCAGUAAUAUACCCCUGCUCUAAAAUCUCA